GAUGAACGCUGGCGGCGUGCCUAAUACAUGCAAGUCGAGCGAAUGGAUUAAGAGCUUGCUCUUAUGAAGUUAGCGGCGGACGGGUGAGUAACACGUGGGUAACCUGCCCAUAAGACUGGGAUAACUCCGGGAAACCGGGGCUAAUACCGGAUAACAUUUUGAACCGCAUGGUUCGAAAUUGAAAGGCGGCUCCGGCUGUCACUUAUGGAUGGACCCGCGUCGCAUUAGCUAGUUGGUGAGGUAACGGCUCACCAAGGCAACGAUGCGUAGCCGACCUGAGAGGGUGCUCGGCCACACUGGGACUGAGACACGGCCCAGACUCCUACGGGAGGAAGCAGUAGGGAAUCUUCCGCAAUGGACGAAAGUCUGACGGAGCAACGCCGCGUGAGUGAUGAAGGCUUUCGGGUCGUAAAACUCUGUUGUUAGGGAAGAACAAGUGCUAGUUGAAUAAGCUGGCACCUUGACGGUACCUAACCAGAAAGCCACGGCUAACUACGUGCCAGCAGCCGCAGUAA
rnacentral:rRNA from 1 species